AACGAACGCUGGCGGCAUGCCUAACACAUGCAAGUCGAACGAGACCUUCGUAUCUAGUGGCGCAUGGGUGCGUAACGCGUGGGAACCUGCCCGUAGAUUCGGAAUAACACCCCGAAAUGGGGGCUAAUACCGGAUAAUGUCCUCGGACCAAAGAUUCAUCCCCCUUGGAUCGGCACGGGUUAGAUGAACUAGUUGGUAGGGUAAAAGCCUACCAAGGCGACGAUCCAUAGCUGGUAUGAGAGGAACAUCAGCCACACUGGGACUGAGACACGGCCCAAACACCGAAGUGAGGGAGCAAGGGGGAUUAAUCAAUACCGGGCGGAAGCAUGACCCAGCAAUGCCGCGGAAGUGUUGAAGGCCUAAAGUUAGUAAACCUCUUUUAACCGGGAUGAUAAGAACAUAACCGGGGGAAAAAGCACGGGCUAAUUCCGU
rnacentral:rRNA from 1 species